ensembl:rRNA 5S_rRNA 5S ribosomal RNA
GCUUACGGCCAUACCACCCAGAGCACGCCCGAUCUUGUCUGAUCUCGGAAGCCAAGCAGGGUCGGGCUUGGUUAGUACUUGGAUGGAAGACCACCUGGGAAUACCAGGUGCUGUGGGCU